rnacentral:rRNA from 1 species
GACGAACGCUGGCGGCGUGCUUAACACAUGCAAGUCGAACGAAGAGCGAUGGAAGCUUGCUUCUAUCAAUCUUAGUGGCGAACGGGUGAGUAACGCGUAAUCAACCUGCCCUUCAGAGGGGGACAACAGUUGGAAACGACUGCUAAUACCGCAUACGAUCUAAUCUCGGCAUCGAGGAUAGAUGAAAGGUGGCCUCUACAUGUAAGCUAUCACUGAAGGAGGGGAUUGCGUCUGAUUAGCUCGCUGGAGGGGUAACGGCCCACCAAGGCGAUGGUCAGUAGCCGGUCUGAGAGGAUGAACGGCCACAUUGGGACUGAGACACGGCCCAGACUCCUACGGGAGGCAGCAGUGGGGAAUCUUCCGCAAUGGACGAAAGUCUGACGGAGCAACGCCGCGUGAGGGAUGACGGCCUUCGGGUUGUAAAGCUCUGUUAAUCGGGACGAAAGGCCUUCUUGCGAAUAGUGAGAAGGAUUGACGGUACCGGAAUAGAAAGCCACGGCUAACUACGUG